ACGGGGUGAGCGCCGGAGGGCGACGACCCGCACACAUGCCACGGUGACAACAGGUCCGGCCGCCGGACGACGCCGCGCGCGGGGACGGUGGCCGGAGCGACAGAAGCACAGCCGCAACCAGCCAGUCGGAGCGAACGGGGACGGACGAGAAA
rnacentral:misc_RNA from 1 species